rnacentral:rRNA from 1 species
CCUUACUGCUAUCGGGAUAGGACUAAGCCAUGCAAGUCGCGCGCUUUCAAGCUAUGGUGAAGGCGCGGCGUACGGCUCAGUAACACGUGGGUAACCUACCCUUGGGACGGGGGCAACCCCGGGAAACUGGGGAUAAUUCCCGAUAGGCGAAGAGUUCCUGGAAUGGUUCUUCACCUAAAGAGCGCUGAAACCAUGCUUUUUAGCGCUGCCCAAGGAUGGGGCCGCGGCCGAUCAGGUUGUUGGUGAAGUAACGGUUCACCAAGCCUUUGACCGGUACGGGCCGUGAGAGCGGGAGCCCGGAGAUGGGCACUGAGAUAAGGGCCCAGGUCCUACGGGGUGCAGCAGGCGCGAAAACUCCGCAAUGCGCGAAAGCGUGACGGGGUUAUCCCGAGUGCCGUCCGCUGAGGAUGGCUUUUCCAUGGUGUAAUAAGCCGUGAGAAUAAGGAGAGGGCAAGCCUGGUGUCAGCCGCCGCGGUAAAACCAGCUCUCCGAGUGGUGGGGAUGAUUAUUGGGCUUAAAGCGUUCGUAGCCGGUUCGGUGAGUCUCUCGUUAAAUCCAGCGACCUAAUCGUUGGGCUGCGGGAGAUACUAUCGGACUAGGGGGCGGGAGAAGCCGACGGUAUUCCCGGGGUAGGGGUGAAAUCCUAUAAUCCCUGGAAGACCACCAGUGGCGAAGGCGGUCGGCUAGAACGUGCUCGACGGUGAGGGACGAAAGCUGGGGGAGCGAACCGGAUUAGAUACCCGGGUAGUCCCAGCUGUAAACGAUGCGGGCUAGGUGUUGAAGGGGCUACGAGCCUCUUCAGUGCCGCAGCGAAGGCAUUAAGCCCGCCGCCUGGGGAGUACGGCCGCAAGGCUGAAACUUAAAGGAAUUGGCGGGGGAGCACCACAAGGGGUGAAGCUUGCGGUUU